UCCACACUAUUUUUACACUCAAGAACAUAUUCUCCAGAACAUAGCUGAAAAAUCCACACGAUUUAUCUUCUCCGGAAUUUCAAAUCGACUGAAGAGGAGCUGAAAAUCGAUAAGAGGAAGCUGAAAAAUGGAGGAGCUGAAGAGAGGAACUGAAUACUGAAGCUGAGGUGAAAAUCGGAGGAGCUGAACUGAUUCUAUUCUCCAAAAUCGAAGAAGUUGAAAAUUGGAGGAGUUCAGCUGAGCAGAUGUUGACCAACAAAUUCUACACUCCAAGAUUUGUUAGUGUAAUAUGUUCUUUUCCCCAAAUACGGAAAUGAACAAAAUGUUUCACACAUGAACACGCCUUACGUCUUGGGUUGUUGCAACAGUUUUUAUAAGAUGUUGCACAUGCUAGAGGAGUUUAUGAUGGUCCAAAUGAAGAUUCCAAGAAAUUCUAUAACUUACUUAACGAGGCAAACAAAAAAUUAUAUCCUGGCUGUAUAGGAUUCUCUAAAUUAUCAUUCACACUUUGCUUAUAUUUUUUGAAGUGUUUACAUGGAUGUAGCAAUAAAUCAUUCACUUCUCUUUUAGAGUUAUUAAAAGAGGCGAUGCCCGAGUUGAACAUUCCUUAGUCUUACAAUAAAACCAAGUCUAUUGUUAAGAAUGUUGGU